AAGACACACAGUGAGUGCAGAAGAAAAAAAAAAAAACUCUACAUAAAACAUGAACAGAUUCACUUGGACAUCUUUGAUAUUUUUAGUAUGCCUGCACAGAGCUAUAGGCACUGAUCUACAAAAAGAAGAUAGUGAGGGGCUUUUGCUUACAACUACAAACUAUGAACAAGAUGGUACUAGAAAUUACUUUUCAUCAGGGGACAGCUCUGAGGAAGAAGAAGACGACACUGAAAAUGAAAGAGACUUGUCAGUCCCUAUAGACUCAUUGCUAGGUCUGGACGACGACACAGUAAGAGUGCAACCUGUAUCUAAGCCCAAGGAAUCAGAAGGGCAGGACAAGAAAAAAAAAACGAAGAAAAGAAAAAACAAGCAAAGGAACAAGGACAAAAAGGACAACAAAAAGAUGUUGACAGCAAACCCAUGUACUACAACACAUAGUGAAUAUUGUAUUCAUGGGGUGUGUGUACAUUAUGAACAUUUGAAUGAAACAACCUGCAUAUGUAACAGAGGAUAUAGCGGCGAGCGGUGUGGUGUUCAGCAGCUGUCGUCUGUAGUCAGAGAAGAUAGUAUAGAUGCCACCCAAUCUAUACUUGUAGUAAUAGCUGCGGUGCUGUCUUUGAUAAGUUUUAUUGCAGUUGUCAUCAUUAUUUGUGCCCAUUGCAGAGCUCAGAAAAGAUUUACAGAACUUUACCAUGGAGGAAAUGAAGAAAAGGAAAAACUGCAACAAGAUAAAGGGAAUAGCCACAUUGUUGUCUAAACAGUAACAGGAAGUCAACUUAAAGAUGCAGCUCCCAUCAAGAAUGUUUCUUAUAUAUAUAUUAACUGUGUAAUAUAUUGUAGUAUAUGGAUAGACUAGACUACUGUGCGUCAUCCAAAACAAAUCUUGUAAUACCCCUGAAUGUAAAGUGAUAAUACUAUCGUUCAGACCCAGUAAUACUAUCGUUGGGCUUAUCAUUUAAAUACAUCAGAAAGUGUGGAUCAUGCAGAGCGGAGACCCAAAAGCCAACUCCCCUCUCGAGUAAAACCAACAACGUGAAGUAAUGGCUCUCUCAAAGGAAAACAGUAUUACCGAAGAAAGAGAAUCUGAACACCGAUUCACGGGCAAUAGAAAUGUCGCAUCAACAUGUUCAGCCAUGCUGCAGGGACUGACACCAGCUAACAAUCUCACCAAUAACAGCUACAACGCUGCCAGAUUUUGUUUGCAAUGCCCCGUCAAAUUUUGGAAGUAGCCAGCCAAGGAGUAGCCAAAUUGUGUUUUUUAAAACAGCCAAAAAUCAGCUCUUACAUUUAAGACUUAAAUAUAUAUAUAUAUUACAAAAACUAAAAUGUUAUGACACUUUUUAUUUAUUUAUUUAUUUAUUUAUUUAUCUGAUUUACAGUACAAGCACUGCUGUUUCUCAUCUGCUGAGAUCCAAUGCAGUAUGUCCAGGGGAAAAUAAAUUAUUCCGAAGGUAGUGAAAAAUAUAAUUGUCCAGAACUGUCAACGGAUACAGUUUUUAAAAAUAAAUUCCAUUUGUACUGAUACUGUUCUUAAACUGACGACGAAUAAAAAAUUACUUUUCACUUCCCCUUAUUUCACACUUAAACAAGAACCCCAGUCAAAUGCAUGAGUGUCAGUCAUGCGCAAGAAUCCCCAUGUGAACCAGUCCUGAGCAAAGAAGUAGGAGGGUUCACAAUUUUCUGGAUUUGCUGAAUGCAAGUGUGAGUGUUUGUGUGAUUUGCCAUUUUUAUUGGUUGCUGGAUUCCAGAAAAAAGACGGGGAGGGCGAGAUAUACUAUGCAGGGCAUUGUGUUGAUUCAUCCUGCGCUAGUGACAACCUCAUAAUUGAAAGGAAUAGAACAAACAUGCAUGAUAAAAACAGCCAAAAAAUAGCAAUAUGGAAAACCAGCAAUCUGGCAGUGCUGAAGAGCUACCUAUCUCUGUCACAGCAGGGAACAUCUUCGGCUCCCAUUGCACCUUCUUUGGAGAGUACGUCAAAUUUGUCAUCUACUCAACCAAAGUGCCAGCGCCAAUCAAAAAAGUCUUUAAAAAUGUUCAGAGUUUCCAGUUCUUGUUCGUGCUUCACAGUGUUUCUCAAUUUGCCACACGCCUUGGACAAUGUAUUGGCAAGUACUUCCUGCUAUAGAAUUGCAUCCUGUUGCCUGCAUCUCCCUGCUCCCGACCGAUAAAUGUAACUCUCACUUUCAGACUCGGAACCAUAUAUUACAAAAAAAUAAUAGCUGGUUCAGUGUGUAUAACCAGGGGUAAUACCAUCUCUAGGUUCUGGGGACAGGAACCUCUCCAGCUUCGCUCUUGAGGUUCCACUGUCCCCAGAACCUCUUGAUGGUAUUACUCCCUGGUAAUACACACUGAACCAGCCACUAUUCUAUUUAUAUUAUAUUUAUUUGUGUAUUUAAUAUUUAUUCUAUUUUUUUUUAUAUGUGCUUCUUAUAAA